rnacentral:rRNA from 1 species
GGAGGAAUAUUGGUCAAUGGGGCGAGAGCCUGAACCAGCCAAGUAGCGUGCAGGAUGACGGCCCUAUGGGUUGUAAACUGCUUUUAUAAGGGAAUAAAGUGAGUCUCGUGAGUACUUUUUGCAUGUACCUUAUGAAUAAGGACCGGCUAAUUCCGUGCCAGCAGCCGCGGUAAUACGGAAGGUCCGGGCGUUAUCCGGAUUUAUUGGGUUUAAAGGGAGCGUAGGCCGUCUUAUAAGCGUGUUGUGAAAUGUCGGGGCUCAACCUGGGCAUUGCAGCGCGAACUGUGAGACUUGAGUGCGCAGGAAGUAGGCGGAAUUCGCGUGUAGCGGUGA